GGUGAGGUGGCCGAGUGGUCGAAGGCGCACGCCUGGAAAGUGUGUAACGGGCAACCGUUCGAGGGUUCAAAUCCCUCCCUCACCGCCA
rnacentral:tRNA from 2 species